UCCUGUCAGUCCUAUCUUCUGACCUGCCAGUGGUUCAGAUGGACUUAAUCAACUACUUUGCUGUCCUACCAAUCUACCUGUCUGAUCAGAAACCAGUCUUGUCAAGGAUAAAUAGAGAGAGGAUCCUGCAAUUCCACAGCAAACACCUGAUGACUAACCGGGGUACUCAAGCAGAACUGGUGACACUACAAUUACAUACUUUUCCCAAAGAAUGUCUAAAUGCAAAAACUAUUUAUAUUUCAACAAUGUCUUUGUUUGUAAUGGGCUUUAUAUGUUAUUUUCUCUGUAAUUAACCACGGGCAGUUGGUUGUAAAAUCUUAGCCACUGGUGUUCUAUUUUUUUCUGGGUGAAGUUCUGGCAACAACAGCUGCCACUGUUUGAAUGUAAUGUUGAUUUUUACAAUUAAAUACUGUUAUGUAUCACA